UACGUAGGGUGCAAGCGUUGUCCGGAAUUAUUGGGCGUAAAGAGCUCGUAGGCGGUUUGUCGCGUCGGCUGUGAAAACUCGGGGCUCAACCCCGAGCCUGCAGUCGAUACGGGCAGACUAGAGUGCUGUAGGGGAGACUGGAAUUCCUGGUGUAGCGGUGAAAUGCGUAGAUAUCAGGAGGAACACCGGUGGCGAAGGCGGCUUCUGGACAGAACAUGACGCUGAUGCGCGAAAGCUAGGGGAGCAAACAGG
rnacentral:rRNA from 1 species